UACGUAGGUGGCUAGCGUUGUCCGGAUUUACUGGGCGUAAAGAGCGCGCAGGCGGUCGUUCAAGUCGAGUGUGAAAGCCCCCGGCUCAACUGGGGAGGGUCACUCGAUACUGAUCGACUCGAAGGCAGAAGAGGGAAGCGGAAUUCCCGGUGUAGUGGUGAAAAUGCGUAGAUAUCGGGAGGAACACCAGUGGCGAAGGCGGCUUUCUGGUCUGCUCUUGACGCUGAGGCGCGAAAGCUAGGGUAGCAAACGGGG
rnacentral:rRNA from 1 species